rnacentral:lncRNA from 1 species
UCUGUGUUCUGACAACAGGAUGGGGAUUCCCAUCUAUCCCGGGUACCUUGGCACUCAGAUAUACAGAAGAGAGCCUGUCACUAGGAUAAAGCCAAGGGGCUCUGAGCAAUGCCAGUACUGGACCAACCAUGCAGCAGGGGCCACUGAAAGCCUAAAAUGCUGGCGGUGUGGUCAGGGGGGUGCAGGAGCAGUCACAGGAGCUAGUCCAGCAGCACCCGGGUUCCUCCUUCCUGCCCCAAAGCACUGCAGAUUCCACCAGGCUCCACCCAGUACUGUCGCAGGCCCUCUGCCAAGAAGCUCAUGAGAGGCCCUUCCCUUCACUCUGGUCCUCACUGCCACUGUCCUACAUCUCAAGCCCCCUGCUCUCUUUCCCUGUGAACAACUGAAGAAGCUGCUUCCGGCUUUAGUACUGACAAAAAUAAUAAAUGGAGAUUUUGGAUUGAGCACCCAA